rnacentral:rRNA from 1 species
AUUGAACGCUGGCGGCAUGCUUUACACAUGCGAGUCGAACGGUAACAGGUCUUCGGAUGCUGACGAGUGGCGAACGGGUGAGUAAUACAUCGGAACGUGCCUAGUAGUGGGGGAUAACUACUCGAAAGAGUAGCUAAUACCGCAUGAGAUCUACGGAUGAAAGCAGGGGACCUUCGGGCCUUGUGCUACUAGAGCGGCUGAUGGCAGAUUAGGUAGUUGGUGGGGUAAAGGCUUACCAAGCCUGCGAUCUGUAGCUGGUCUGAGAGGACGACCAGCCACACUGGGACUGAGACACGGCCCAGACUCCUACGGGAGGCAGCAGUGGGGAAUUUUGGACAAUGGGCGAAAGCCUGAUCCAGCAAUGCCGCGUGCAGGAUGAAGGCCCUCGGGUUGUAAACUGCUUUUGUACGGAACGAAAAGCCUGGAGCUAAUAUCCCCGGGUCAUGACGGUACCGUAAGAAUAAGCACCGGCUAACUACGUG